GCCUGCAUGAAGUUGGAAUUGCUAGUAAUCGCGGAUCAGCAUGCCGCGGUGAAUACGUUCCCGGGCCUUGUACACACCGCCCGUCACACCAUGAGAGUCGGGAACACCCGAAGUCCGUAGCCUAACCGCAAGGGGGGCGCGGCCGAAGGUGGGUUCGAUAAUUGGGGUGAAGUCGUAACAAGGUACC
rnacentral:rRNA from 1 species